AUUGAACGCUGGCGGCAGGCUUAACACAUGCAAGUCGAACGAUGAUUAUCUAGCUUGCUAGAUAUGAUUAGUGGCGGACGGGUGAGUAACAUUUAGGAAUCUGCCUAGUAGUGGGGGAUAGCUCGGGGAAACUCGAAUUAAUACCGCAUACGACCUACGGGUGAAAGGGGGCGCAAGCUCUUGCUAUUAGAUGAGCCUAAAUCAGAUUAGCUAGUUGGUGGGGUAAAGGCCCACCAAGGCGACGAUCUGUAACUGGUCUGAGAGGAUGAUCAGUCACACCGGAACUGAGACACGGUCCGGACUCCUACGGGAGGCAGCAGUGGGGAAUAUUGGACAAUGGGGGCAACCCUGAUCCAGCCAUGCCGCGUGUGUGAAGAAGGCCUUUUGGUUGUAAAGCACUUUAAGCAGGGAGGAGAGGCUAAUGGUUAAUACCCAUUAGAUUAGACGUUACCUGCAGAAUAAGCACCGGCUAACUCUGUGCCAGCAGCCGCGGUAAUACAGAGGGUGCGAGCGUUAAUCGGAAUUACUGGGCGUAAAGCGAGUGUAGGUGGCUCAUUAAGUCACAUGUGAAAUCCCCGGGCUUAACCUGGGAACUGCAUGUGAUACUGGUGGUGCUAGAAUAUGUGAGAGGGAAGUAGAAUUCCAGGUGUAGCGGUGAAAUGCGUAGAGAUCUGGAGGAAUACCGAUGGCGAAGGCAGCUUCCUGGCAUAAUAUUGACACUGAGAUUCGAAAGCGUGGGUAGCAAACAGGAUUAGAUACCCUGGUAGUCCACGCCGUAAACGAUGUCUACUAGCCGUUGGGGUCCUUGAGACUUUAGUGGCGCAGUUAACGCGAUAAGUAGACCGCCUGGGGAGUACGGCCGCAAGGUUAGAACUCAAAUGAAUUGACGGGGGCCCGCACAAGCGGUGGAGCAUGUGGUUUAAUUCGAUGCAACGCGAAGAACCUUACCUGGUCUUGACAUAGUGAGAAUCCUGCAGAGAUGCGGGAGUGCCUUCGGGAAUUCACAUACAGGUGCUGCAUGGCUGUCGUCAGCUCGUGUCGUGAGAUGUUGGGUUAAGUCCCGCAACGAGCGCAACCCUUUUCCUUAUUUGCCAGCGGGUUAAGCCGGGAACUUUAAGGAUACUGCCAGUGACAAACUGGAGGAAGGCGGGGACGACGUCAAGUCAUCAUGGCCCUUACGACCAGGGCUACACACGUGCUACAAUGGUAGGUACAGAGGGUUGCUACACAGCGAUGUGAUGCUAAUCUCAAAAAGCCUAUCGUAGUCCGGAUUGGAGUCUGCAACUCGACUCCAUGAAGUCGGAAUCGCUAGUAAUCGCAGAUCGGAAUGCUGCGGUGAAUACGUUCCCGGGCCU
rnacentral:rRNA from 1 species